UGCCAGUUACUAACAGGUAAUGCUGAGGACGUCUGGCGGAACUGCCGGUGACAAACCGGAGGAAGUGGGGAUGACGUCAAGUCAUCAUGGCCCUUAUGUCCAGGGCUACACACGUGCUACAAUGGGUGAGACAGAGUGACGCGAAGCCGCGAGGUGGAGCAAAUCGCAGAAAAUCAUCCGUAGCUCGGAUUGGAGUCUGAAACCCGACUCCAUGAAGGUGGAAUCGCUAGUAAUCGCGCAUCAGCAUGGCGCGGUGAAUACGUUCCCGGGCCUU
rnacentral:rRNA from 1 species